AAGGGAGACCUAAUUCAGGUAUGAGACGAAAAAAAAGUAGUCCCUACCAAGAAUCAAUCCCAAAAGGUCGGAGCGAGGUAUGAGGCUUUCAAACUAGGUUCUGGGUUCACACAAGACCUGAAUCAGGAACAAGGGCUAUUAGCUCAGGUGGUUAGAGCGCACCCCUGAUAAGGGUGAGGUCCCUGGUUCGAGUCCAGGAUGGCCCACCUGCACAGGUGGCAAAAACAAGAGAAGCGAGGAAUCAGCACCUUAUCUUAUUUAUAUAUAUAAGAGAGAAUGCUGGCUCUGAGUAAAGAGUCCAGAGGAACCUUGAAAACUGCAUAGAGCUAGGUGAAAAAGCCAAAAAAGAAGACCGCAA
rnacentral:tRNA from 1 species